rnacentral:rRNA from 1 species
UACGUAGGGCGCAAGCGUUAUCCGGAAUUAUUGGGCGUAAAGGAUGCGUAGGCGGACAUUUAAGUCAGAUGUGAAAUACCCGAGCUUAACUUGGGUGCUGCAUUUGAAACUGGGUGUCUAGAGUGCAGGAGAGGUAAGUGGAAUUCCUAGUGUAGCGGUGAAAUGCGUAGAGAUUAGGAAGAACACCAGUGGCGAAGGCGACUUACUGGACUGUAACUGACGCUGAGGCAUGAAAGCGUGGGGAGCAAACAG